rfam:Otolemur garnettii contig154225, whole genome shotgun sequence.
GCCAGGCGUGGUGGCGUGUACCUGUAGUCCCAGCUACUCGGAAAGCUGAGACAGGAGGAUUGCUUGAGUCCAGGAGUUCUGAGCUGUAGUGCACUAUGCCGAUCGAGUGUCUGCACUAAGCAUCAGUAUGGUGACCUCCCAGGAGCAGGAGGCCACCAGGUUGCCUAAGGAGGGGUGAACUAGCCCAGGUCUGAAAUGGAGCAGGUCAAAGCUCCCAUGUUGAUCAGCAGUGGAUCACACCUGUGAAUAGCCACUGCACUGCAGCCUGAGCAACAUAGUGAGACCCUGUCUCUU